rnacentral:rRNA from 1 species
ACGGGAGGCGCAGUGGGGAAUAUUGGGCAAUGGGCGAAAGCCUGACCCAGCAACGCCGCGUGAAGGAAGAAGGUCUUCGGAUUGUAAACUUCUUUUAUGAGGGACGAAGGAAGUGACGGUACCUCAUGAAUAAGCCACGGCUAACUACGUGCCAGCAGCCGCGGUAAUACGUAGGUGGCAAGCGUUAUCCGGAUUUACUGGGUGUAAAGGGCGCGUAGGCGGGGAUGCAAGUCAGAUGUGAAAUCUAUGGGCUUAACUCAUAAACUGCAUUUGAAACUGUAUCUCUUGAGUGCUGGAGAGGUAGAUGGAAUUCCUUGUGUAGCGGUGAAAUGCGUAGAUAUAAGGAAGAACACCAGUGGCGAAGGCGAUCUACCGGACAGUAACUGACGCUGAGGCACGAAAGUAUGGGGAGCAAACAGGAUUAGAUACCCUGGUA